UAUGCUGGUAUUCUGUCUAAGCUCCACCCCCAAGUUACCUGGCAACAGAUAUGCCUAACUCACUAUAAAAGGGGCUGCUUGGCCCCUCCUCACUCUCUUAUCUUCUCUUCCUUCUCGCUCUUCCCCUCUUCCUCUUUGUCCCUUCUCUCCCCGUUCCCCUCCCCGCUUCCCUCCAUGUGCUUAUGGCCGGCCUCUACUCCUCUCCUCUUCUACUCUUCUUCUCUCAUUAAACCUUUCCACGUGGAACCAUGUUGUGUUUUGUCUGGACCGGUCCAGACGCGAGCCGAGAUUUUGACCCCAACAAUCUGGACUCCAGGCCAAGAGAUGCCCAGAGCGGGCACAGGGUCCUUUGGAUUCAGUCAGCACUCAGCACCCCUUUCCCUCUGUGCCACCAAGGACCAUGCUGGCACCUGGCUGACAGGCUGUUGGUCAGAGCUCACAGAGUAAGUAGAUGCAAGGACAGAUUCAGUUAUUCACAGAACACACUGAACA
rnacentral:lncRNA from 1 species